GCCUAGUUAGCUUAGUUGGUAGUGCGUCUGCCUUGUAAGCGCUAGGCCGCGGGUUCCAUUCCCGCCCGGGCA
rnacentral:tRNA from 1 species